UGUCCACUCGCAGCUGCCCAUUCUCCGC
rnacentral:sRNA from 1 species